rnacentral:rRNA from 1 species
UUAAGCGACUAAGCGUACACGGUGGAUGCCCUGGCAGUCAGAGGCGAUGAAGGACGUGCUAAUCUGCGAUAAGCGCCGGUAAGGUGAUAUGAACCGUUAUAACCGGCGAUUUCCGAAUGGGGAAACCCAGUGUGAUUCGUCACACUAUCAUUAACUGAAUCCAUAGGUUAAUGAGGCGAACCGGGGGAACUGAAACAUCUAAGUACCCCGAGGAAAAGAAAUCAACCGAGAUUCCCCCAGUAGCGGCGAGCGAACGGGGAGGAGCCCAGAGCCUGAAUCAGCAUGUGUGUUAGUGGAAGCGUCUGGAAAGGUGCGCGAUACAGGGUGACAGCCCCGUACACAAAAGCGCAUGUGCUGUGAGCUCGAUGAGUAGGGCGGGACACGUGGUAUCCUGUCUGAAUAUGGGGGGACCAUCCUCCAAGGCUAAAUACUCCUGACUGACCGAUAGUGAACCAGUACCGUGAGGGAAAGGCGAAAAGAACCCCGGCGAGGGGAGUGAAAAAGAACCUGAAACCGUGUACGUACAAGCAGUGGGAGCACAGGUUUACCUGUGUGACUGCGUACCUUUUGUAUAAUGGGUCAGCGACUUAUAUUCUGUAGCAAGGUUAACCGUAUAGGGGAGCCGUAGGGAAACCGAGUCUUAACCGGGCGUUAAGUUGCAGGGUAUAGACCCGAAACCCGGUGAUCUAGCCAUGGGCAGGUUGAAGGUUGGGUAACACUAACUGGAGGACCGAACCGACUAAUGUUGAAAAAUUAGCGGAUGACCUGUGGCUGGGGGUGAAAGGCCAAUCAAACCGGGAGAUAGCUGGUUCUCCCCGAAAGCUAUUUAGGUAGCGCCUCGUGAAUUCAUCUCCGGGGGUAGAGCACUGUUUCGGCUAGGGGGCCAUCCCGGCUUACCAACCCGAUGCAAACUGCGAAUACCGGAGAAUGUUAUCACGGGAGACACACGGCGGGUGCUAACGUCCGUCGUGAAGAGGGAAACAACCCAGACCGCCAGCUAAGGUCCCAAAGUCAUGGUUAAGUGGGAAACGAUGUGGGAAGGCCCAGACAGCCAGGAUGUUGGCUUAGAAGCAGCCAUCAUUUAAAGAAAGCGUAAUAGCUCACUGGUCGAGUCGGCCUGCGCGGAAGAUGUAACGGGGCUAAACCAUGCACCGAAGCUGCGGCAGCGACGCUGAUGCGUUGUUGGGUAGGGGAGCGUUCUGUAAGCCUGCGAAGGUGACCUGUGAGGGUUGCUGGAGGUAUCAGAAGUGCGAAUGCUGACAUAAGUAACGAUAAAGCGGGUGAAAAGCCCGCUCGCCGGAAGACCAAGGGUUCCUGUCCAACGUUAAUCGGGGCAGGGUGAGUCGACCCCUAAGGCGAGGCCGAAAGGCGUAGUCGAUGGGAAACGGGUUAAUAUUCCCGUACUUGGUGUUACUGCGAAGGGGGGACGGAGAAGGCUAUGUUGGCCGGGCGACGGUUGUCCCGGUUUAAGCGUGUAGGUGUGUGUUCCAGGUAAAUCCGGUUCACUUUAACACUGAGGCGUGACGACGAGGCACUACGGUGCUGAAGCAACAAAUGCCCUGCUUCCAGGAAAAGCCUCUAAGCAUCAGGUAACAUCAAAUCGUACCCCAAACCGACACAGGUGGUCAGGUAGAGAAUACCAAGGCGCUUGAGAGAACUCGGGUGAAGGAACUAGGCAAAAUGGUGCCGUAACUUCGGGAGAAGGCACGCUGACACGUAGGUGAAGUGAUUUACUCAUGGAGCUGAAGUCAGUCGAAGAUACCAGCUGGCUGCAACUGUUUAUUAAAAACACAGCACUGUGCAAACACGAAAGUGGACGUAUACGGUGUGACGCCUGCCCGGUGCCGGAAGGUUAAUUGAUGGGGUCAGCGCAAGCGAAGCUCCUGAUCGAAGCCCCGGUAAACGGCGGCCGUAACUAUAACGGUCCUAAGGUAGCGAAAUUCCUUGUCGGGUAAGUUCCGACCUGCACGAAUGGCGUAAUGAUGGCCAGGCUGUCUCCACCCGAGACUCAGUGAAAUUGAACUCGCUGUGAAGAUGCAGUGUACCCGCGGCAAGACGGAAAGACCCCGUGAACCUUUACUAUAGCUUGACACUGAACAUUGAGCCUUGAUGUGUAGGAUAGGUGGGAGGCUUUGAAGUGUGGACGCCAGUCUGCAUGGAGCCGACCUUGAAAUACCACCCUUUAAUGUUUGAUGUUCUAACGUGGACCCGUAAUCCGGGUUGCGGACAGUGUCUGGUGGGUAGUUUGACUGGGGCGGUCUCCUCCUAAAGAGUAACGGAGGAGCACGAAGGUUGGCUAAUCCUGGUCGGACAUCAGGAGGUUAGUGCAAUGGCAUAAGCCAGCUUGACUGCGAGCGUGACGGCGCGAGCAGGUGCGAAAGCAGGUCAUAGUGAUCCGGUGGUUCUGAAUGGAAGGGCCAUCGCUCAACGGAUAAAAGGUACUCCGGGGAUAACAGGCUGAUACCGCCCAAGAGUUCAUAUCGACGGCGGUGUUUGGCACCUCGAUGUCGGCUCAUCACAUCCUGGGGCUGAAGUAGGUCCCAAGGGUAUGGCUGUUCGCCAUUUAAAGUGGUACGCGAGCUGGGUUUAGAACGUCGUGAGACAGUUCGGUCCCUAUCUGCCGUGGGCGCUGGAGAACUGAGGGGGGCUGCUCCUAGUACGAGAGGACCGGAGUGGACGCAUCACUGGUGUUCGGGUUGUCAUGCCAAUGGCACUGCCCGGUAGCUAAAUGCGGAAGAGAUAAGUGCUGAAAGCAUCUAAGCACGAAACUUGCCCCGAGAUGAGUUCUCCCUGAGACUUAGAGUCUCCUGAAGGAACGUUGAAGACGACGACGUUGAUAGGCCGGGUGUGUAAGCGCAGCGAUGCGUUGAGCUAACCGGUACUAAUGAACCGUGAGGCUUAACCUU